rnacentral:rRNA from 1 species
UACGUAGGGGGCAAGCGUUGUCCGGAAUCAUUGGGCGUAAAGCGCGUGUAGGCGGUUCGGUAAGUCGGCUGUGAAAGUCCAGGGCUCAACCCUGGGAUGCCGGUCGAUACUGCCGGACUAGAGUUCGGAAGAGGCGAGUGGAAUUCCCCGGUGUAGCGGUGAAAUGCGCAGAUAUCGGGAGGAACACCAAUGGCGAAGGCAGCUCGCUGGGACGUUACUGACGCUGAGACGCGAAAGCGUGGGGAGCAAACAGGG